rnacentral:rRNA from 1 species
AGCGAACGCUGGCGGCAUGCUUAACACAUGCAAGUCGCACGGGCGGGGGCAACUCCGUCAGUGGCGGACGGGUGAGUAACGCGUAGGAAUCUAUCCUUGAAUGGGGGACAACCGUGGGAAACUACGGCUAAUACCGCAUGACGCCUGAGGGCCAAAGACGAAAGUCGUUUGAGGAGGAGCCUGCGUCUGAUUAGGUAGUUGGUGGGGUAAAGGCCUACCCAAGCCUACGAUCAGUAGCUGGUCUGAGAGGAUGAUCAGCCACAUUGGGACUGAGACACGGCCCAAACUCCUACGGGAGGCAGCAGUGGGGAAUAUUGGACAAUGGGCGCAAGCCUGAUCCAGCAAUGCCGCGUGGGUGGAGAAGGUCUUCGGAUUGUAAAGCCCUUUUGGCGGGGACGAUGAUGACGGUACCCGCAGAAUAAGCUCCGGCUAACUUCGUG